UCCUUCACUUCUGCUCACAGACUGACUGGUGUGACAUUCCAGACUAAUCAUGAGUAGGAACUUCUUGUCCAAAAACGAUGAGUUUCGCAAGGGAGACUUUCUGUACUCCAACAACGGGGAGUAUAAGGCUGUCUUCCAGAUGCAAAAAAAAACGCAGGAGGGGCCGUGAAAUCAGAAGUGGAAGUUUCAUUAAACUGUGACUCUGUAAUGCCAGAGACAGGGAUGGUGGAAGAACCAGAAGGAGCAAAAGAUAAAUGUUUCCCAAGGUCAACAUCCACUGGCGUCUCUCAGGGGAUUGUUCUGUUUUAUAUAAAAUAUAAUAAAUUCAUCUGACCAACGAUGGCAAACUGGUGGUGUACAAGGAAAGUGAUGAAAUUUGGAGCUCUGCUAACUCCAGAGGCAUGAAAUGAUGUCAUGACAUGACAAGCCUAUUGUAAUUGAAUGCUAUGUAAAGGAAAAUCAUCUCUGGAUUGCAGCUUGGAUUACAAUAAACCUGCCAGCCAUGUAAUCUGUAAUCAAAUAAAAACACAUUUUCACAAUGUA